rnacentral:tRNA from 1 species
UUCAGUGUGGUGCAGUGGUUAUAGUGUCGGACUAGGACUUGGAAGACCAGGGUUCAAAUCCCCACACAGCCAGGAAG